rnacentral:rRNA from 1 species
UACGUAGGGUGCAAGCGUUAAUCGGAAUUACUGGGCGUAAAGCGUGCGCAGGCGGUUUUGUAAGUCUGACGUGAAAUCCCCCGGGCUCAACCUGGGAAUUGCGUUGGAGACUGCAAGGCUAGAAUCUGGCAGAGGGGGGUAGAAUUCCACGUGUAGCAGUGAAAUGCGUAGAGAUGUGGAGGAACACCGAUGGCGAAGGCAGCCCCCUGGGUCAAGAUUGACGCUCAU